rnacentral:tRNA from 1 species
UUAAUAGAAGCCAAAAUAUAGAGGCUAUUCACUGUUAAUGAAUUUAUUGAUAUAUCCUAUUAAA